AUGCCAGCCGAUCUGCGCGCACUCAUGAGCUCGGUCACCGACGCGUAGGGCCUCCUUGUCAGCGUUGUUACUCCCCUGUAGAUCUUCCCCAGCCGCAAACGGGCGCGGUCGAUUUCCGCGUCGCUGCGCGCGCUAGCUGGGGCUUCUCCGGGCCCAACCCAAACUGACCAAGGGGGGAACAUAUAUUUCUGCCUGAGCUUCCCUCGUCCUCUUGUUACGCCACUACAAGCCCUAGCCACCACCGUUGAGAGAGGAACGCCAACCGCGCAAGCCUGUUCCGCCGAGGGAGGGAGGAAACACCGACCGCCUGCCUACGUCGCCGCUCGGGGACCAUCGGGGAGCCGGGGGAGUUCGCAAUUGCUCGAAGAACCUCUGCGCAGAGCCACUGGGAUGGGGAUCGACUGGGUCGACAAGGAUUGCUCAACUGAGUCCCUUCCAUCACCAUCGGUCCGAUUCGCGUGGUUCGUGCCAACCUCGUCCCCAUAUUCGGUAAAGAGCAGGUGGCCCCGGAGGAAGAUUACUACGAGAAGUUCGACGAGGUCUAGGUGUCGUGUCCCAGUCGACUUGAUGGCGUCAAGGAAAUAAUAUUAGUUCGCUUCAUUUAUUCUCAGUUAUUUUGUAAGACAUUUUCGUUAUGUAAUAAAGUUUGUGACAUUUAUCUCUA